rnacentral:rRNA from 1 species
GACGAACGCUGGCGGCGUGCUUAACACAUGCAAGUCGAACGCUGAAGCUUGGUGCUUGCGCUGGGUGGAUGAGUGGCGAACGGGUGAGUAAUAAGUGAGUACCCUGCCCUUGACUCUGGGAUAAGCAUGGGAAACUGGGUCUAAUACUGGAUACGACAUGUCACCGCAUGGUGGUGUGUGGAGAGGGUUUUACUGGUGUUGGAUGGGCUCACGGCCUAUCAGCUUGUUGGUGGGGUAAUGGCUCACCAAGGCGACGACGGGUAGCCGGCCUGAGAGGGUGACCGGCCACACUGGGACUGAGACACGGCCCAGACUCCUACGGGAGGCAGCAGUGGGGAAUAUUGCACAAUGGGCGGAAGCCUGAUGCAGCGACGCCGCGUGAGGGAUGACGGCCUUCGGGUUGUAAACCUCUUUCAGCACGGAAGAAGCGAAAGUGACGGUACUUGCAGAAGAAGCGCCGGCUAACUACGUG